rnacentral:rRNA from 1 species
UACAGAGGGGGCAAGCGUUGUUCGGAAUUACUGGGCGUAAAGGGCGCGUAGGCGGCCUUCUAAGUCGAACGUGAAAUCCCCGGGCUCAACCCGGGAACUGCGUCCGAUACUGGAAGGCUUGAAUCCGGGAGAGGGAUGCGGAAUUCCAGGUGUAGGCGGUGAAAUGCGUAGAUAUCAGGAGGAACACCGGUGGCGAAGGCGGGUCUCUGGCCGAUACUGACGCUGAGGACGAAAGCGUGGGGAGCGAACAGGAU